CCUACGGGGGGCUGCAGUGAGGAAUAUUGGUCAAUGGGCGCAAGCCUGAACCAGCCAUGCCGCGUGAAGGAAGAAGGCCCUAAGGGUUGUAAACUUCUUUUGUACGGGGGUAAUUUUCGUCUCGUGAGAUGAAUUGAAAGUACUGUACGAAUAAGCGUCGGCUAACUACGUGCCAGCAGCCGCGGUAAUACGUAGGACGCAAGCGUUAUCCGGAUUCAUUGGGUUUAAAGGGUGCGUAGGCGGGCCUUUAAGUCAGUGGUGAAAGUUUGCCGCUU
rnacentral:rRNA from 1 species